rnacentral:rRNA from 1 species
UACGUAGGGGGCAAGCGUUAUCCGGAUUUACUGGGUGUAAAGGGAGCGUAGGCGGCAUGGCAAGUCAGAUGUGAAAGCCCGGGGCUCAACCCCGGGACUGCAUUUGAAACUGUCAGGCUGGAGUGCAGGAGAGGUAAGCGGAAUUCCUAGUGUAGCGGUGAAAUGCGUAGAUAUUAGGAGGAACACCAGUGGCGAAGGCGGCUUACUGGACUGUAACUGACGUUGAGGCUCGAAAGCGUGGGGAGCAAACAGG